UCAUGAGCUGAACUCAAAGAUCUAAGACUUUUUCUAUGUACACAAAAGGCCUAUUUCUCUCAAAUAUUGUUCACAAAUCUGUCUAAAUCUGUGUUAGUGAGCACUUCUCCUUUGCCGAGAUAAUCCAUCCACCUCACAUGUGUGGCAUAUCAAGAUGCUGAUUAGACAGCAUGAUUAUUCCACAGGUGUGCCUUAGGCUGUCCACAAUAAAAGGCCACUCUAAAAUGUGCAGUUUUAUCCCACAGCACAAUGCCUCAGAUGUCGCAAGUUUUGAGGGAGUGUGCAAUUGAUAUGCUGACUGCAGGAAUGGCCACCAGAGCUGUUGCCUGUCAAUUGAAUGUUCAUUUCUCUACCAUGAGCCGUCUCCGAAGGCGUUUCAGAGAAUUUGGCAGUAUAUCCAAUUGGUCUUACAACCGCAGACCACAUGUAAUGACACCAGCCCAGGACCUCCACAUCCAGCAUCUUUACCGCCAAGAUCGUCUGAGACCAGCCAUCUGGACAGCUGCUGCAACAAUCGGUUUGCAUAACCAAAGAAUUUCUGCACAAACUGUCAGAAACCGUCUCAGGGAAGCUCAUCUGCAUGCCCGUCGUCCUCAUCAAAUUUUUCAAAUUUGUGGUUUUCCAGAUGUCUCUCUACUAUCACGUUGCCAUUAAUGUGGAACCCACAACCACUUUUAAUCAUUCAAUGUGUUUUCUGUUGAAUUUUUUGUUUUCCAGAUGUGUCUCUCUACUAUCAUAUUGCCAUAAAUGUGGAACCCACAACCUGUACAAAGACUCAAAAGCCAAACCUUUUAUGAACGGAUAAUCCUUCACCUCCAUGUAUGCCUAUCCACAACGAACAUGCAACAGGUAAUGUUUGAUCUAAAUUGAUAAAUGCAAAAACUGUGAGUAAAACAUUUUAUUGACUCAGUCUUAUGUACUGGGUAUUGCAGAGGGCACAACAUAACACAAAUGAGAUUCACUGAUUUGUGGUGUUCUGUUUCAAGAUCUGUGUCCACACGUUAUGCAUUUGUGCCUUUUCCUUUUAAAGCACACUCUACGGCCAUCAUAUGGUUUGGCUGUGCAGCAGAAUUUGUCCGUGCAAGACGCUGAGCAUUUUUUCAUCAAUGAUCUGGAUUACCAUCACAGGUGUCAGUGAAGCCUACACAUCAGUGCAAUGUGGCUGCUGAUGGGCAAAAUAUCACUUUAAAUGUUUUUGUGUGUGUGUGUGUUGUAUUUGAAUUACUUAUUCUUGCACUUUUUCAAAAAACAGACUGCUGAAGGAUCAUACAACUGGGAUUUACACAGCUAUGCACUGCAUGCAUCAGUUUAUGGACUUUC